rnacentral:lncRNA from 1 species
AAAAAAAAAACAAAGUAUAAAUUGUUUUAUACAUGUUGUUUCUUACCACCCGUACAGUCCUUUUUUCUCGGAAACGCGAUGGGAUGGAGAGUGGGGAGAGAACUUUUGAUAACCGGGGUAUGUCUGGAGAACCGUGUGGUCACGGUGAAGAUUUUGUGAGCCCACCGGAAACAACCAACCGGAACAAGGGCUCAACUUUGAAAUCUCCGAUGAAAACGUAUGCUGUUAGACAUAAUUUGGAUGGAACUGCGAAGAAUAACUUUUGUUUUGAAAGUUUUUGAUAUCGUCAUAGGUGAUAUCAAAAAUUUAUG